rnacentral:lncRNA from 1 species
UAGGGAUUUGGUCGUGUAACAAACACGUCUCUAAACUCCUCUGUCUUGGGAGAGGAAACUCAGCAUUUUCAAGCCGUAGCAGCGCUGCACAUGAGUGGACUAUUACAGGCUAUGCCACAGGACUGCCCACCCUUUGACAGGUACUGCUGAUGAUACUCCUCAGCUCUGUAGAAUUUCUUAGCUGGUAGAAUCUCAGUCGUGAUCUUACUCUCCAUUUGUUUCUGGUGACGUUCCAUUGACUCCACCGCUAGUUUCUCCUGCUCAGGUGUGUAGAAGUAUAUCCCUGAUCUGUAUUGGGUUCCCACAUCUUUUCCCUGAUCACAGUUUUAAGUCAUUAGCCACGGUAAAAAAUAGUCAAGGGAUAGUUUCACUACACAGAUAUGUUAUUAUAAUAAGUAUUGUUCUCUAUCUAAAGUCUUAAAACUUUAAAAAUUUAGCAAUCUCCAGCAUAAAAAGUUUAAAUCUUUGGACCAAGUUAAGAGAAACCCAUAACGUACCUGGCGAUUCAAGGUGGUGGGGUCAUGUCUAGACCAGAAGACAUCAAGCAGAGACUCAAAGUUAUUGAAUUGUAAACUUAUGAUCCAAGACAAUGAUCCCAACAAGUACUCACUUUAUUAAGAUCUCAAACUCAAACUCACAAGUUAUGCCACAAUCAUAGCAUCUCCUUAUAUAUCUCUUUUAGUUCCUAAACUCAUUAGAAAACAUAUCUUAUAGAUAACUAUCAAUCUAUAUAAUCCUAAUCUCAUUAGGAUAACUUCUACUCUAAGUUAUCUUCAAGCUUAAGUCAACAUUCUCCCCCUUAAGCUUGAACUCACCAUUUGACACAUCUUGAACUCCAAUGAGACUUCUCAUGUCUUUAAACUUGAUUCUCCCAAGUGCUUUGGUUAGUAUAUCAGCCUUCUGCUCUGUCCCGGCCACAUGCUCAACGAUCACUAAGCCCUUUUCAACGCACUCUCUUAUGAAAUGGAACCUUGUGUGUAUGUGCUUACUACGUCCAUGAAACACCGGAUUCUUGGCAAGUGCGAUUGCCGAUUUGUUAUCAAUACGAAUCACUGUUUUUCCGACUCCAUCUUCAGUAAUCUCUUCAAGUAACUCCUGCAGCCACAAAGCUUGUUUUGCUGUCUCUGUCGCAGCCAUAUACUCAGCCUCACACGAGGACAAGGCAACAAUUUCUUGCUUUUGAGAGCACCAAGUCACAGGACAAGAGUUUAAGUAGAAGAUAUGACCUGUUGUGCUCUUGCCAUCGUCAGGAUCCACAUUGUAGCUACUGUCACUGUAUCCUAUUAGUUCCUUCAUACCGUUGUUCUCAUAGUAAAGCCCAAGAGAGCACGUUCCCUUCAAGUACCGAAGGACUUGUUUCAGUGCAGCUCCAUGAGAGCUUCUUGGAUCAUGCAUAUAGCGGCUUAACACUCCAACACACUGAGCAAGAUCUGGUCUGGUAUGAAUCAAGUAUCGAAGACAGCCAAUGUUACGCCUAAACUCUCUCUCGUUUAUCGUUGCCUCCUCUGCACCUUUGCAAAGCUUUACCCCUGGCUCCAUUGGAAUGUGUACAGCGUUACACUCAGACAUUCCCGCUUCUUCAAGUAUUUUCAUAGCAUAUCUCUCUUGUUUCAGCGUCACUCCAUCUUUAGUCUGGAUAACCUCAAUCCCAAGGUAAUAGUUAAGUUUCCCGAGAUCACUCAUCUCGAACUUACUUCCCAUCUCCUCCUUAAAACCUCUUAUGUCAUCACCCUUAGUUCCUGUGACGAGUAAAUCAUCAACAUAAACUGCAACAAGAAGUAGUGAGUGUUUUGUCUUUCUCUGAUACAAUGAGGACUCCUUGGAACAACGUGUGAACCCAAGCUCUUUUAGAAUCUGAUUUAGCUUGAUAUUCCACGCCCUUGGGGCCUGUUUCAAGCCGUAGAGGGCUUUAUGCAGUUUGUAUACCUUGUGUUCACUUCCUUUGAUCUUGAAUCCUUCUGGUUGUGAAACGAAAACUUCUUCUUUUAACUCACCGUGAAGAAACGCGGUUUUCACAUCAAGGUGAUGUAUCUCCCAACCACUGGACGCAGCUAAGGCUAUAAUUACUCGUACCGUCUCUAACCUUGCGACUGGAGCGAAGACUUCAUCGAAGUCAACACCGUGGCGUUGCACAUAACCUUUAGCUACUAGCCUUGCUUUAAACUUGUUAACGCUACCAUCCGCAUUACGCUUAACUUUGAAGACCCACUUUAACCCAAUUGCUUUGCUUCCUUCUGGUAGAUCAACAAGAGUCCAAGUUUUAUUCUUCUUAAUAGAAGUAACUUCUUCCUCGCACGCAUUCCUCCAUACCUUCUGAUCUUUUGCCUCGUUCCAGUCCCACGGUUCCUCAUCAAUAAGCAACAGAACGCGUUCAAUCUCUUCUAUCUCAGACAUCAGCACAUAAUCAUCCAAGUAACUUGGUCUUGACGUUUGCCUUGUCGAUCUUCUCAAGAUCACUUGAUCCUCUGUUUCCUCUGUUUCUUCAGUUUCCUCAUCAUUGCUAGACGCGUGCUCACUCUCGUCUUCCUCAGCAACUGUAUCAGAGGUAGAUUCACUACUUGCCAUUGGAAGUGUUAUCAGAGUAGGCUUGUCAGUUUCCUUCUCAUUCCACUUCCAUUUUUUGCUUUCAGCAAAGAUCACAUCUCUGCUCACAACAACUCUUCGAUUUGUAGGAUCGUAUAAGCGGUAUGCUUUUGACCCUGGUUCGAUUCCUAAGUGUACCAGCUCUCUGGAUCUGUCGUCUAACUUCUUGAGAUGUGGUGCCUCGUUCUUAGCGUAGCAGACGCAGCCAAAUACCCUCAGAUGUCCAACGUUUGGCUUCUUCUUUUUGUAGCACUCAUAUGGUGUUUGUAGUCUCAGAGUUCUUGUCGCAACUCUAUUGAUAAGAUAUGUUGAGUGCCUCACAGCUUCGCCCCAUAAGUAACUUGGCACACUCAUAUGUUUCAUCAUGCUGCGGGUCAUCUCCAUUAGAGUACGGUUUCGUCUCUCAACGACUCCGUUUUGCUGAGGUGAAUACGGUGCCGUCAAGUGACGUUUUAUUCCAUGCUGGUCACAGAAGGUUUGGAACUCUUGAGAAGUGAACUCACCACCCCUAUCAGUUCUGAAUGUUCCAAUGAUACUUCCUGUUUCUUGCUCCACAAGUCUUUUGAAGAUUCUGAACUUCUCGAAAGCUUCCCUUUUCUCCUCCAACAAUAUAGACCACAUAUAACGUGUAUGAUCAUCAAUCAAUACGAACACAUACCUCUUCUUGCCUGCCGUUGUUGGAGAUAUUGGUCCACAAAGGUCUCCAUGAAUGAGCUCCAGGACGUGUGAGGCACGGUAUGCAGUGGCCUUGGGAAAGCUUUUCCGUGUCUGCUUUCCUAGCAGACAAGAAGCGCAAGUCUCAUUCUCAAUGCUCAGAUUAGGUAUACCUGUAACUACCUCUUUAUUCAUCAUACUCCGCAUGGUGUCUCGGUUUACAUGCCCAAGUCUCGCAUGCCAAACAGCUGAAUCAUCGUCUCUCUCGACCUGAAGACACCUAGUAUUGUCAACCUCCAUCGUCACUUUAUACAGCCGAUUCUUGGACCUGAUGGCUUUUACCAGUAGGUUCCCGUCACGAUCAAGCAACGUGAGAUAGUCUUUUCUCAUUCGUACAUCACAGCCAGACUCUGUAGCUUGUCCAAGACUGAUAAUAUUGCUCUUCAAGUCUGGUAUAAAAUACACAUCGGCCAAGAUCUUCUUCUUUCCAUCCUUGCUUAUGAAAAUAAUUGAACCUUUUCCUUUGAUGUCUAUGCGCGAGUCAUCCCCAAAUCUUACUUUCCCUGUGAUUCUCUCAUCAAUCUUCGCAAAAUAGUCUCUGUUUCCUGACAUGUGGUUGCUUGCGCCAUUGUCUAAGUACCACACAUUGUCUUUAUCAGUGUGUGUCUCGAACUUGCUUGGUGUCACAUUCUCCUCAUUUAAGUACACAACUUCAUUCAUCAUCAGUUCCUCAGCUUCAUGUGUGCUCUCAGCAUCAUUCUCUUGUGUUUCUUGGAGUUUCAGCAACCGGUCUGGGCACAGAUAGGCAUAGUGUCCAGUUUUAUCACACCUGAAACAGACCACUCGGGACGUGUCUCUGCCUUGCUUCCAGUCUUGCUGAUUGUUGUAACGUCCACGCCCUCUUCCCCUGUUACCAAAACGUCCACCACGUCCUCUUCCUCUUCCAUAGGUUUCUGUUUGUGAUUGGGAAUCUGCAUUGGCGUACAUGAGUUUUCCUUGAUCAUCGGGCUGAUCAUCAUCUACGAUCCUCUCCUCAUAGGCUUUUAGUCUUCCCACAAUAUCCUCAAAGCUGGUGGUGUUGAGGUUUAGGACCUGUUCAAGAGCAGCUAUGAUAUGUAUAUAUUUCUUCCUUGGAAGACUGUGAAGAAAUUUCUUGACAAGUUUAGAUUCCUCUAUGUCUUCUCCUAAGGCUGAGGAUUUUGAAGACAUCUCUGCGAGUUUACCGGAGAAAUCAUCAAUAGUUUCUGUUUCUUUCAUCUUCAAUCGACUAAACUCAUCCAUGAGUGUUUGUAAUCUAGCCUCACGAACUCUGUCAGCUCCCACAUGUCUUGCCUUUAUUGCUUCCCACACAAGUUUUGAUGUCUCAAGAUCGCCUACUUGCAGAACUAGGGCUUCCGGUAUGGACUGAAACAACAAAGCACGAGCCAUAUCGUUCUUAUCUCCAUCAUCUAUCCCUGGUUCUAUUGUUUCCCACACUUUAUGUACCUUGAGCGCCACCUUCAUCCUCAUACUCCACACGGUGUAGUUGGUGGCAGUGAGCAUAGGACAUUGGAUUGUCGUAGUAUGCGCCUUUGGUUUGAUAGUUGUCGCAACUAUAUCUUUGUCACCCAUGUUGUCUCACAAACCUUCUCUUCUUGGAUUUUGUUUAAGAAUUCAAUAGAAUGCUCUGAUACCAAUUAUUGAAUUGUAAACUUAUGAUCCAAGACAAUGAUCCCAACAAGUACUCACUUUAUUAAGAUCUCAAACUCAAACUCACAAGUUAUGCCACAAUCAUAGCAUCUCCUUAUAUAUCUCUUUUAGUUCCUAAACUCAUUAGAAAACAUAUCUUAUAGAUAACUAUCAAUCUAUAUAAUCCUAAUCUCAUUAGGAUAACUUCUACUCUAAGUUAUCUUCAAGCUUAAGUCAACAAAAGUUGCACUCUUUGGGAUCAUACUGAACCCUGACAACCUCUGCAUGGUUCGUUGUGUUCGUGCAGACAUCCUCGUAUGAAGGAUUGUGGAGGAACCCUUGGGUGUAUCCAACCUCCGUAUGAGUCACACCGGAGACUCUCUGAAACGCCAGCUCCACGCCCCAGAAGCAUCCAGCGGCGAACUGUGCAAAUUCAUUACCCGGCGCCGGGGCGUCAUUGUCGUUUCCCUGAGUGAUAGCAGAAAGAUUCAUCGCUAAGUUUUCUAGAGAGGAAAAAAAAGUUUUUAGAGAGAAUAUUUAAGUUUAUUAUGUAAUUGCAUCCAGAUACCCUCCUCCAUACAUGAACUAUAUAUACCACCUGUAAUCCUGUAUAGUUAACCUUAGAGUGUAUAUACUAUUUAUUCCUGUCCAUAUACACGAUCUAUAAAUAUCACAUGCAUAGUUAUCACUAAAGACAAUAUUAGAGUGUAUAUGCUAUGUAAUUCCGUCCGGAUACACUCCAGACAUGAUCUAACUAUAAAUAUCACGUGUUAGAUAACGUUAUUUGACCCAAAAAAAAAAAGAUAACGUUAAGAGUGUUUAUAUUAUGUACUUCCGUCCAGAUACACUCCAUAACUAUGAAUAUCACGUGUUAGUUAACAAUCACAGGUGACGAGGCAGGUGUAUCUAAUAACUUAGACUCUUCUUGAGCUAUAGAAGGAUCCAUUUUGGUAGAUUCAUAUGAGAAAAAAUCAGUCACUUGUUUAUAUAGGAAGAGUCAGUCAGAGAUUAACACCACCUAUGACCUACAUAAAGGCUGAAUAGCUUUUUUAUUGGCACACAAGAAAAAUACAUAAUAUUUUGGUGAAUUAUGUUUUUGAUAAGAUGUCUACAGAAUAUUUAUAAAAACAAAAAAAAAUCUACCCACCAUUCUAUAAAAGUCACAUUUAUUCUAUAUUAAAGAUAUAAAAUCAAAAUUGAGAAUAAGAAACUUUAUGAGACUUUAGCCAUAAGUGUCUUAGAAAAUAUUAGCGGAAAUUAGAUUUAUACAGUUUGUUGAUUUCAAAAGUAUGGAGAUUUGUUGAAUUUGGAAAUAAUUUGAAAAAAUUGUGUACAUUUUAAAAUCUAUGAAAACAAAUAAUCUUAAUAAUUUUAAGAAUCUAUAAACCAAUAACGCUACAUUUUUGAAAUUCUAACAAUUAUUACAAUGUAACUCCCAUUAAAGUGAAACUAUAUAAGUGGCCUAAAGUGAAAUCAACUCAAACUCUAUCAGACUUUUUCUUUUCUCAUCCACAAGAUUCGCUCGAUCAUUCAAGAAAAUAAACAAAUAAUUGUAUAAAAACGUUACUCAUGCAAACGAAAGUUAUUGGUUACAUUCCUAUUAGAGAUAGCAAUUUUUGGCUGGUGUUCAUUUUGUGUAACAUACACUGUUACAGAAUUGCAAAUAAAAGUUACAUACGUGUUGUCUAACCAACCUCAUCAGUUUUACAUUCACAAGUCUACGAUAUCCUCUGUUUAGGGAGAUAAGCAGAGGAACUCAGCUCUUUAGCUAGCCGUAGCAGCAAACUGAACCGUUGCAGGCUUUGCCACAGGACAAACAUCGUUAUUAUUUCUUUCUCUGUUUUUAAAUAAAAUGAAUAACUAACAGAAUAAAAUAAAAGAUAUUAUUGAGUUUUUUGUGAUUUAUUCAUUUCGAAAUUUUCAAAAAAAAGUUGUAACACUUUCACAUCUUUGUUAUGAACUGUGAAUUAUAAUCAACAACACACACACAUACAGAGAACACUCCUCUGUUUUGGUAGGAAAAGGAACAAAGAAGGAAUUACCCGAGGUGUAUCUACUAACUUAGAGCAUCUUUAUUCCCAUCCCACAUUUUUGUUAAAACUCCUUUCUUCCUCCUCUUAUUAAGAGGCAAGUUUGUUGGAAUUUUUGUACUGUUCGCGAACUUACUGAUAUGUGGCCGUCGCGAUAGAUUAAUUUUUUUUUUUUUUUUUAAAAGUAAAAAAUAAAAAAAAUAAGAACUUAAACGGAGUUUUAGGGAUAAUGAUGCUCUUAGGCUCUUCUUGAGCUGUCAAAGGAUCCAUUUUGCUAGAUCACUAUGUGAAAGAAAGGAUCAGAUUGGUGAUGUUGUUAAAGUGUUGUAUUGUUGUUGAUGGUGAAGAAAAUGGCAAUAUGAGAAACCUUAUCCAUCAUAUUAUUUUUUUCAUCCAUAAGAUUCGCUCAAAUCUAAAGAAUCAAUAAUUCAAUAACAUCAAUACAUUUAUAUAGUCUCUAACAUUGAAACACGAAAGUAACUUGUUACACUUAUUAGGCAUUUGGUUGAUGCUCAUAUUGUGUAGCAAACAAGUCUCUAACGUCCUCUAUUUUGGGAGAUAAGCAGAGGAAACUCAGCAUUUUUAAGCCGUAGCAGCGCUGCACAUGAGUGGACUGUUGCAGGCUAUGCCACAGGACUGCCCACCCUUUGACAGGUACUGCUGAUGAUACUCCUCAGCUCUGUAGAAUUUCUUAGCUGGUAGAAUCUCAGUCAUGAUCUUACUCUCCAUUUGUUUCUGGUGACGUUCCAUUGACUCCACCGCUAGUUUCUCCUGCUCAGGUGUGUAGAAGUAUAUCCCUGAUCUGUAUUGGGUUCCCACAUCUUUUCCCUGAUCACACUUUUAAGUCAUUAGCCACGGUAAAAAAUAGUCAAGGGAUAAUUUCACUACAUAGAUAUGUUAUUAUAAUAAGUAUUGUUCUCUAUCUAAAGUCUUAAAACUUUAAAAAUUUAGCAACUUCAACGUAAAAAGUUUAAAUCUUUGGACCAAGUUAAGAGAAACCCAUAAUGUACCUGGCGAUUCAAGGUGGUGGGGUCAUGUCUAGACCAGAAGACAUCAAGCAGAGACUCAAAGUUGCACUCUUUGGGAUCAUACUGAACCCUGACAACCUCUGCAUGGUUCGUUGUGUUCGUGCAGACAUCCUCGUAUGAAGGAUUGUGGAGGAACCCUUGGGUGUAUCCAACCUCCGUAUGAUUCACACCGGAGACUCUCUGAAACGCCAGCUCCACGCCCCAGAAGCAUCCAGCGGCGAACUGUGCAAACUCAUUUCCCGGCGCCGGAACGUCAUUGUCGUUUCCCUGAGUGAUAGCAGAAAGAUUCAUCGCUAAGUUUUCUAGAGAGAUUAUUAGAGUUUAUGUAUAUUUUUUUGAGAAUGGAGUUUAUGUAUUUGCAUCUAGAUACACUCCAUACAUGACCUAUAUAUACCACCUGUAUAGCUAACCAUGGAGUGUAUAUACUAUGUGUUUCCGUCCAGAUACACGAUCUAUAAAUACCACAUGCCAUAGUUAUCAUUUAAGACGAUAUUAGAGUGUAUAUGCUAUGUAAUUCCAUCCAGAUACACUCCAUUCAUGAUCUAACUAUAGAUAUCACGUGCUAGAUACAGUUAAAAAGCAUUAGAGUGUAUAUCCUUUGUAUUUCCGGCCAGAUACACUGCAUACAUGAACUAUAAUUACCACCUGUAUUUUUUUUUUUGAACUAGAACAACAGCUGUCUUGUUUUUUUUAUCUAGAAUAACACCUGUAUUGUUUUUUUUUGACCGAAAGACUAAUAACACCUGUAUUGUUAACAUUUUUUUUUUGUUAAGUAUGUGAAUUUCAUUAACUUAAUAAUGAGGCAUAGAGAUACAAUGGACUUCGACUGAUCUAAUCCUAUUGAAUCUAAGUCGCUAAGUCAACAAGACAAAGCAAUGGAGCCAUAGUAAGCCACAAAAAAAGUAAAAAGACUCACUAAGACUAAGAAGGCUCAGUCACAACCAUGAGGCUGCGAGAAAGCUUAGCUAGUUUAAUAGAUCCUAAGACAACCAUUUAGCUAACAGGAGACCAGAGAGAAGAUCUUGAAGUCGGCACCUGCAUCAAGAUCACUCGGGUCAGUAGAGAAUCGCAACCGGAGAACAGUCCGAGGAGCCGCAGACUAUCCCGAAGGCGACAUCAAAAGAAGGACAGGCGAAGCAGGAUUGGCAAGCCCUGGUCCGGCCAUCGCAAGCAAAUGAAGUCCACUCCAGACGUUGCUAUCUCAAGAAACUGCUACACCAUACUCUGAGAAUCCUAGCCGAUGUAGAGAAACCGGUAUAUGAAGCUAAGGUGAGUACUUGCAGGUGGAAGCAGAGGUUUAAACGGCUGGACUCUGGUCCCACCACACAAGCAGAGCACGAGGGAUUCCGGCCACAGAACACCAAGAGAGGCAGAGGACAACAACCAGCUUCCUUCUGAAGCUUGAAGAACAGAGGAACAAGAGCUCCUUACAGCAGGCGAAACAGGAGGAGAGACCCAUCAUAGGAAGUCAGAUGAGCAGAGUAACGGCACGAAACUCCAAUCCAACCCAAUCCCAAACAGAUCGAAACCAAAAGAAACACCAGGUGGUUGUCGAGGAACCAUUACCGAAAAAGAAGUCCCCGACGGUGAGCCUCGAACCGUCUUUUCAACUUGGAACAAGAGGGGGAAGUUCUUACCAAAGCAUCGCAAGCGGAGACAGGGGAGAGACAGAGGAGGCAGUAUACUGACCAGAACGGCGAAGGCAGCGACGCAAGGCCACUCCGGCGAACCCUCCAGGAGAGAUCUGACCCAGAUCUACUCCGGGCGAAACCCUAGAUCUACCAGUUUGACGACGCCUCCAGCUCAGAUCCGGCUCACCACGACAUCGCCAUCUCUCCAGGGAAGCUGAGGACACCCACAGCCACCGGUUUGAAUCGCCUGGUCCGGCCGCAACCCAGCGAUAAACAGAGGAGAUGAAGCAAGGAGGAAGUGGAAGAGACCGAAGCAUGAGAGGGCAGAGGCUAGGAAACGGUGACGAAACGGGGUGGCGACCGACGGGUAGAGACCCUCCGUCGGCCACCGGAACGAGAGGCAAGAGGAGAUGUCGAAGCGGAGAGUUGGUGGGGAGAGAAGAUCGAGAGAAAAGACUCUCUCACCUCUCUCUAACUUCUGCCAAACUCUAAUUCACUAUUGUUAACAUUAAAAUGAACAUUGGAGUGUAUAUACUCUGUCUGUCCGUCCAGAUACACUACGAACUAUAACGAGAGAGGUGCAGCGAAACGGAACACGGGUCUUAGUAUUACUGUUCGUUGCGUUCGCGUUUUGGUAGCGAUCGCGAUUAGAAACGGCGAGUUUGAAUCGCUAUGGUAACUGAACUUGGAAAGUGACAAAGGUCCAGCGUAUGCUAAGUUGAACCAAGAAGUUUAGGUGGAAAUCUAACCAAUAUUGUUUAUAUCUCAACUGAUUAUUUAUUUGUCAUCCAAAUGGAAAAAAAAAAAUAGUAUGAAACAAAAUUUAAUAUGCAACUGAAUCGAUCAUGCACCAGUUUAAUGUAAUCAAAAUGAAAUUAAUUUUGUAAACCGAAAUUAAAUUGUUCAUAUGUAUAGAUAACUAGAGAAAACUUUAAAUAUAUUUUAUUAUCAUUUCUUACAAUAUAUUUAUCCAAAAUUACACACCACCAACAUUUUUGGUUUCUGCUUAGUCAUAACUCUUCAAGCCAAUUGAACCAAAACAACAAAAAUAUAUCAAACCAGGCCGAAUACUCACUUUAUUCACUCUCGUCGUACGCAUUUAAAUUAGAGAAUAUAUUUAUAUACUAUGUCUUAAAAAAAAGAAAAAAAAAAUAUAUAUAUAUAUAUAUAUAUAUUUACACCAGUAUUAUAUGCUCAAUUCUUUGUAGGAGCACAUUUUAUAUUUAUCAAUAGCAUUUAAAUGGUGCAGAUACGAGUCUUACUGCACUCAGAGCAUGAGCAGCAGCGAACCUUGCAAUUCCCGAUUUCCAAUGUUUUUUUUUAUUAUUUUAAUUUGUUUUUUUCGUUUGAUUUAAAAAAAAAAAUAUAAACGAAUCUAUCGCGGGCCGCCACGUGUCGUGGGGUCCGCAGAACAGUAACGAGACGAUAUCACUCCAGCGAACCUGCACGAGCCGGGUUCAUUAAAAUUUGAUUAUUUUAAUAUUUUUCUGCCUCAAAAAUCGUGUGAACUCUAGUCUUGAUUCUUCAAUGCGGAUGGUCUCAAUUCAUUAAGGCUCUAACCUUCGACCACCCUAUUGCCGAGCUCUACGGCAUCAUCGUAACUGACAUUGAAGCUGUUGCUUUAUCCUUUGAUUUUGUUUCUUUUACUUGGAUCUCUCACGAGUCACGAGAGAAACAUAGAUGCGGAUUUAUUGGCUAAACAUGUUUUGUCUGCUGAGUUUAAGGCGCUGAGUUAGCCUUAGAGCACCAUUAACCUAGCACCCCAAGUGGGGUGCUUAUUUUAUUUUUAUUUUUUAGUUUUUUGUCUGAUUUUUUUUUUAAAAAAAAAAAUUAAAAACGAGCCAAUCACGGACCGCCACGUGUUAGUGGGGCCCGCGAAACAGUACAAGAUCCAACAAAACCCGACGCUUAAUCUGGCGUCUUUGACGUCGCUGCUUCGUCUUUUGCCGUGGAGCCCACCCUUUAGCACUUCUCUAAGCGUCCCCGUUAAUCCUGCUCUUAAUGGCCUCACCAAACAAUGGUUAAAAACUUAAAAUAUUGAAUGAAUGAAAGUAAGUGUUUCAAAAGAAAAAUAGUGUAGAUAUACUUGGUUUUUUGUCAAAUAGAACAUAUGUGUUACUUAUUGUGAAUGAUUAAGAUUAAAAUCUACUAAGAUAGAAGAUAUUUUACUAAUUAAGAACGAUUGAAUAAUUAGAAAUCUUAUUCCUCAUCAAAAGAGCAGAGCUAUCGACAAAGUCAUUUGAAACCGCAUCCUAUCUCUGAACUACUCCACAACUCCAAGGCUGCACGGCUUACUCAGACGUUGGUAUCUUAUCCCCGGCAACUGAUAGCUAAGGCAUUAUCUUUCAUUGUUUGCUCUUUCCAUCUGUAAAUGACUAUAUUGUUUUAAAUUACUCAAUAAAUUUGAAAUUUCAAGAAAAUAGUUAGAAAGCUUAAAAAAAACAUACACAUUUUUAGGAAACAUACACUUUUGUGUUCGCAUUCAGUUUGAAGUUUUCAAAAAAGUUGUUAACAUUUCUACAUCUUAUUAUGCACUGAGAAAUACAAAUCAACAACACACACAAGCAAACAAACAAAAAAGGAUCAGUUGCAGCCUUGCAGGUGUAUCUACUAACUUAGGCUCUUCUUGAGCUAUCGGAGAAGGAACAGUUGCAAGUAAAUCUACUAACUCAGGUUCUUCUUUCAGCAUCAAAGAAUCCAUUUUGAUAGAUCAAUAUGUGAAAGAAAGGAUGGGACUAGUGAUUUUCUUAAAGUGUUGUAUUGUUGUUGAUGGUGAAGCAAAUGGCAAUAAGAAACCUUAUUCAGCAUAUUAUUUUUUCAUCCAUAAGAUUCGCUCAAAUCUAAACAAUCAAUAAUUCAACAACAUCAAUAGACAUCUUUAUAGUCUCUAACAUGAAACAAGAAAGUAACUUGUUACACUUAUUAGGGAUUUGGUUGAUGUUCAUAUUGUGCAACAAACAAGUCUCUAACAUCCUCUGUUUUGGGAGAGGAAACUCAGCAUUUUUAAGCCAUAGCAGCGCUGCACAUGAGUGGACUGUUACAGGCUAUGCCACUGCAGGACUGCCCACCCUUUGACAGGUACUGCUGAUGAUACUCCUCAGCUCUAUAGAAUUUCUUAGCUGGUAGAAUCUCAGUCAUGAUCUUACUCUCCAUUUGUUUCUGGUGACGUUCCAUUGACACCGCCGCUUGUUUCUCCUGCUCAGGUGUGUAGAAGUAUAUCCCUGAUCUGUAUUGGGUUCCAACAUCUUUUCCCUGAUAACAGUUCAAGUCAUUAGUCACGGUAAACUACAUGUAUAUCAUGUUACACUUCACAUCAUCAAAUGUUACACAUUCGAUUUGGUAUUGCAAAUGAAUUGAAUAACUAGCAGAUUAAAAAAAAAAAUAAGCAUUGAUUUUUUUGUGUUAUGUUUUCAGUUUUAAGUUUUUAAAAAAGUUGUAACAUUUCCACAUCUUUAUUAUGAAAAUCUUAGAAUUACAAAUCAACAACACAAAAAAAAAGUCUUAAAUCGUAUAAAGUACCUGGCGAUUCAAGGUGGUGGGGUCAUGUCUAGACCAGAAGACAUCAAGCAGAGACUCAAAGUUGCACUCUUUGGGAUCAUACUGAACCCUGACAACCUCUGCAUGGUUCGUUGUGUUCGUGCAGACAUCCUCGUAUGAAGGAUUGUGGAGGAACCCUUGGGUGUAUCCAACCUCCGUAUGAGUCACACCGGAGACUCUCUGAAACGCCAGCUCCACGCCCCAGAAGCAUCCAGCGGCGAACUGUGCAAACUCAUUUCCCGGCGCCGGAACGUCAUUAUCGUUUCCCUGAGUGAUAGCAGAAAGAUUCAUCGCUAAGUUUUCUAGAGAGAUUAUUAGAGUUUAUGUAUAUUUUUUUUAGAGAAUGGAGUUUAUGUAUUUGCAUCUAGAUACACUCCAUACAUGACCUAUAUAUACCACCUGUAUAGCUAACCAUGGAGUGUAUAUACUUUGUGUUUCCGUCCAGAUACACGAUCUAUAAAUACCACAUGCCAUAGUUAUCAUUAAUUAGAGUGUAUAUGCUAUGUAAUUCCAUCCAGAUACACUCCAUUCAUGAUCUAACUAUAUUUAUCACGUGCUAGAUAAAGUUGAAAAACGUUAGAGUGUAUAUCCUUUGUAUUUCCGGCCAGAUACACUGCAUACAAGAACUAUAAUUACCACCUGUAUUUUUUUUUUGGUAAAAAAACAACACCUGUAUUGUUUUUUUUUUCUAUCUAGAAUAACACAAGUAUUGCUACCAUUAAAAAGAACAUUGGCGUGUAUAUUCAAUGUCUGUCCGUCUAGAUACACUCCAUACAUGAACUAUAACGAGAGAGAUGCGUUUUGGUAGCGAUCGCGAUUAGCAACGGGGAGUUUGAAUCGCAAUGGUCACUGAACUUGGACAGUGAAAAGUUAAGGUCCAACAUGUGUAUGCUAUUCGCUAAACUGAACCAUAUAAAGUUGAACCAAGAAGUUUAGGUCGAAAUCUAACCAAUAUAUAUAUCUCAACUGAUUUUAUUAUUUUGAGAAGACAUAGGAAAAAUUCCAUUUCUCUUGUCACUAUGGAUUCCGUAGCUUCACCGUCAAUCAACCCCUUGUUUUUUUUGCCAUGGAAACACAAAAAUAGGCUUUUCUAAAACCUAAAUCUUUCAUAUUUACGAACAUUUUAUUAAAAAAUAAAAAACUUAUUUUAUUAUUGUCAUCCAAAUGAAAAAAAAAAAUAGUGUGUCACAAAAUUUAAUAUGCAACUGAAUCGAUCAUGCACCUAGUUUAAUGUAACCGGAAUGAAUUAAUUGUAAACCGAAACUAAUUGUUUUUUUUUUUUGAGAACUCGAAAUUAAAUUGUUCAUAUCUAUAGAUACUAAAUGAUAAAUUUGUUGACAAAAAAAUGAUAAAUUUAAAUAUACUUUAUAUUUGUUUCUUACAAUAUAUUUAUCGAAAAUCACAGACAGAAUCAAACCACCAAACAUUUUUGGUUUGUGCUUAGUCAUAACUCUUCAAACCAAUUGAACCAAAACAACAAAAAUAUAUCAAGCCAGAGAAUAUAUGUACACUAUGCCUUCAAAAAAAAGAAUACAUAUAUAUACACUCCUUCUAUGUAGACGCACAUUAUAUUUAUCACUAUAAAUAUUAUACGAAAACAAUAUUUUUGAAGUAUAUAAAUGGUGUAGAUAUAUUUUUUUUUUGUUAAAUAUAAUAUGUGCUACUUAUUAUGAAUGCUUAGGAAUAAAAAAAAUAGAAGAUAUUUUAUUAAGUAUGAUUAAAUAGUUAGAAAUCUUAUUCCUGAACAAAUGAGCAGAGCUAUCGACAAAUUCAUUUGAAACCGCAUCCUAUCUCUGAACUACUCCACAACUCCACGGCUGCACUGCUUACUCAGACGUUGAUAUCUUAUCUAUGGCAAAUGAUAGCUAAAGCAUUAUGUUUCAUUUUUUGCUCUUUCCAUCUGUAAAUGACCAUAUUGUUUUAAGUUGCUCAAUAAAUUUGAAAUUUCAUGAAAAAUAGUUAGAAAACUUAAAAAUAAAAACAUACACAUUUUUCGGAAACAUACACUUUUGUGUUCGCAUUCAGUUUGAAGUUUUAAAAAAUGUUGUUAAAAUUUCCACAUCUUAUUGUGAACUGAGAAUUACAAAUCAACAACACACACAUGCUAACAAACAAAGAAGGAUCAGUUGCAGGUAAAUAUACGUAGGUUCUUCUUGAGCUAUCAAAGAAUCCAUUUUGCUAGAUCACCAUGUGAAAGAAAGGAUCAGAUUGGUGAUGUUGCGUUGUAUUGUUUGUUGAUGAUGAAGCAAAUGGCAAUAAGAAACCUUAUUCAUCAUCAUAUUAUUUUUUCAUCCAUAAGAUUCACUCAAAUCUAAACAAUCAAUAAUUCAAUAGACAUUUAUAUAGUCUCUAACAUGAAACGAAAGUAACUUGUUACACUUAUUAAGGAUUUGGUUGAUGUUCAUAUAUAUUGUGUAACAAACUCGUCUCUAAACUCCUCUAUCUUGGGAGAGGAAACUCAGCAUUUUUAAGCCGUAGCAGCGCUGCACAUGAGUGGACUAUUACAGGCUAUGCCACAGGACUGUCCACCCUUUGACAGGUACUGCUGAUGAUACUCCUCAGCUCUGUAGAAUUUCUUAGCUGGUAGAAUCUCAGUCAUGAUCUUACUCUCCAUUUGUUGCUGGUGACGUUCCAUUGACUCUGCCGCUUGUUUCUCCUGCUCAGGUGUGUAGAAGUAUAUCCCUGAUCUGUAUUGGGUUCCCACAUCUUUUCCCUGAUAACAGUUCAAGUCAUUAGCCACGGUAAAAGUAGUCA